AGCGAACGCUGGCGGCAGGCCUAACACAUGCAAGUCGAACGAACUCUUCGGAGUUAGUGGCGGACGGGUGAGUAACACGUGGGGACGUGCCUUUAGGUUCGGAAUAACUCAGGGAAACUUGUGCUAAUACCGAAUGUGCCCUUCGGGGGAAAGAUUUAUCGCCUUUAGAGCGGCCCGCGUCUGAUUAGCUAGUUGGUGAGGUAACGGCUCACCAAGGCGACGAUCAGUAGCUGGUCUGAGAGGAUGACCAGCCACACUGGGACUGAGACACGGCCCAGACUCCUACGGGAGGCAGCAGUGGGGAAUCUUGCGCAAUGGGCGAAAGCCUGACGCAGCCAUGCCGCGUGAAUGAUGAAGGUCUUAGGAUUGUAAAAUUCUUUCACCGGGGACGAUAAUGACGGUGCCCGGAGAAGAAGCCCCGGCUAACUUCGUGCCAGCCGCCGCGGUAAUAC
rnacentral:rRNA from 1 species